AGGUGCUAAUACCGUAUAACAAUCAAAACCGCAUGGUUUUGAUUUGAAAGGCGCUUUCGGGUGUCGCUGAUGGAUGGACCCGCGGUGCAUUAGCUAGUUGGUGAGGUAACGGCUCACCAAGGCCACGAUGCAUAGCCGACCUGAGAGGGUGAUCGGCCACAUUGGGACUGAGACACGGCCCAAACUCCUACGGGAGGCAGCAGUAGGGAAUCUUCGGCAAUGGACGAAAGUCUGACCGAGCAACGCCGCGUGAGUGAAGAAGGUUUUCGGAUCGUAAAACUCUGUUGUUAGAGAAGAACAAGGAUGAGAGUAACUGUUCAUCCCUUGACGGUAUCUAACCAGAAAGCCACGGCUAACUACGUGCCAGCAGCCGCGGUAAUACGUAGGUGGCAAGCGUUGUCCGGAUUUAUUGGGCGUAAAGCGAGCGCAGGCGGUUUCUUAAGUCUGAUGUGAAAGCCCCCGGCUCAACCGGGGAGGGUCAUUGGAAACUGGGAGACUUGAGUGCAGAAGAGGAGAGUGGAAUUCCAUGUGUAGCGGUGAAUGCGUAGAUAUA
rnacentral:rRNA from 1 species